rnacentral:tRNA from 1 species
GAGGAUGUAGCUCAGUGGUAGAGUGUGCCUAGUAUGCAUAAGGCCCUGGGUUCUAUUCCCAGCCCCACCA